rnacentral:lncRNA from 1 species
GCAAAAGAGUACUAAUUAAUUUGGUUCUAAAAGAUCUGGCUGCUACUAACCUUAUUUCUAAGAAUAUGAAGGGGUAGGACUGGUGAGCCAAAAGGAUUCUUCCAGUUUGAGAGGCAUUUGGGGAUCCUCAGGGACUGGAAAGCCUCCUCAACCGGGGGCGCCAUAGCAUUUCCACCAUCCUGCGUGGGUGUUUGUUUGAGCGCAGAUGGAAUCAGGAACAGUGCAGCCUUUCUCCCGAAAAGUGCACCCCAUCAACUCAUCUGUGCUCAUGCAUGAACGUAGGGGCGCCGUGGCAUUUCCACCAUCAUGCGUGGGUGUUUGAACACAGAUGGAAUCAGGAAAAGUGCAGCCUUUCUCCCGAAAAGUGCACCCCAUCAACUCAUCUGUGCUCAUGCAUGAACGUAGGGGCGCCGUGGCAUUUCCACCA